CGUCGGGACGGCGUGCGGUGCGGUCAUUCCGCUUAGCUCCUCCGGAGAGAGAGCCGGUCGCGCGCGUACACACGUUCGGCACCGUCGUCAGGUGAUCCACUCCGGGCGCGGUGACAGCGUGCACCUGGCACACCUCGAGUGGUGCCGCAGCCGCAGCUGCCGAGCGUCGGGAAUAAUCCGCUACGACCCGUGAUACCAUGAUACGCUCCUGCAUCCCGAGCGGGCGAUCGCGCGUGAACGUCAACUUCGUCAUCGACAUCGAGGCGUGGUGACGCGACGUCGGCCGACGAUCUCAGUACGCCGGCAACGGGCGUCGCGAUUACAGCCUCGUGCCGUAACGCGUGGAUCCUCCCGGAAGGAGGUCGCCUCCCCCGCCUGAGAGAGACAGAGAGAGAGAGAGAAGAAGGGUGUACCAAAGGGGUGCGAAGAGGACAAAAACAAGAAGACGCGGAGGAGCAGAUGAAAAACUGGAGG